AUCCUUUCGUGUUCUGAAAGAUGAUGAUUGGGUUGUUUCCCGCAUGUUUUGCGUGAGAUGUACCACCCUUCUUGUUACGCUCCGGUACAACACCCAUCUGACU